ACAUCUACCAGAGCCGCAUAGUUAACAUAAGAACUAUAAUUCUACAUAAUAUGAAGAACACAGACAUGAUUUUACAGCCAAGACGCAAUGCAGUCGCUGCUUCCUAAAACAAGAAGGAAAGCUGGCAAAAAAAGGUUGACGCUGUAAAUGCGUAAAUCACAACGCUUAUCAAUAUCACUUCUCCAUCAGUCAAGACCAAGAUCUGACCAGAAUUACACUUUUGCUUUCCAUAAAUUGUUGUUGCUGCUUUAGCCUAUUAUUUUAGUUUCAACCCUGGCAGUGGGAAGCAAUCGGGAGAGUAAAUAAAAAAAAACAUAUAAAAACAAAUCAAACCGAUGUGUCGCAUUGGCACCACAUGGCACAAGAUGCCAACAAAUAAUUUCCUCCGCUGGAAAUCUUAAUCUUUCACAAAGAUACCCAUCAUGGAAUGUUAACGGGGUUGUCAAUCUCUAAAUGUUUUAUCUUUCAUGAGCGCACUUCUCUCUCCCCACACACAUGGGCUCCACCGGAUCUUCUAAGAAGGGUGAAACCGUUAUCAAUCGAGUAUUGACUGGUCAGUAGGCGGUGCCUUUACACCGUUGAUCUCUAAUCUCCAACAUAACCUGCUCCCGACCAGGUGAGGUGUUCAGCAUAAAUUACCACGGCACUGUAACCCGGGUAACAAGCGAUCCGUCGUCGUGACACACAAAACCCUGGGUUGAAGCUGAAGUUACCUCAUUAAUGCCAAAUCUUGCUCCGUAGUACAGGCCUCUGGUGUCUUAAUAAUCUAA